ACGAACGCUGGCGGCGUGCUUAACCCCUGCAAGUCGAACGGAAAGGCCCUGCUUUUGUGGGGUGCUCGAGUGGCGAACGGGUGAGUAACACGUGAGUAACCUGCCCUUGACUUUGGGAUAACUUCAGGAAACUGGGGCUAAUACCGGAUAGGAGCUCCUGCUGCAUGGUGGGGGUUGGAAAGUUUCGGCGGUUGGGGAUGGACUCGCGGCUUAUCAGCUUGUUGGUGGGGUAGUGGCUUACCAAGGCUUUGACGGGUAGCCGGCCUGAGAGGGUGACCGGCCACAUUGGGACUGAGAUACGGCCCAGACUCCUACGGGAGGCAGCAGUGGGGAAUAUUGCACAAUGGGCGGAAGCCUGAUGCAGCAACGCCGCGUGCGGGAUGACGGCCUUCGGGUUGUAAACCGCUUUCGCCUGUGACGAAGCGUGAGUGACGGUAAUGGGUAAAGAAGCACCGGCGAACUACGU
rnacentral:rRNA from 1 species